CACGUAGGGCGCGAGCGUUGUCCGGAAUUAUUGGGCGUAAAGAGCUCGUAGGCGGUCUGUCGCGUCGGCUGUGAAAACUCGGGGCUCAACUCCGAGCUUGCAGUCGAUACGGGCAGGCUAGAGUUCGGCAGGGGGAGACUGGAAUUCCUGGUGUAGCGGUGAAAUGCGCAGAUAUCAGGAGGAACACCGGUGGUGUAAACGGCUUUCUGGACCAUAACUGACGCUGAGGCACGAAAGCGUGGGUAGCAAACAGG
rnacentral:rRNA from 1 species